GGGCAUUUAGCUCAGCGGCAUAAGCGCCUGCCUUGCAAGCAGGCGGUCGUGAGUUCGAUCCCCAGUACCGA
rnacentral:tRNA from 1 species